rnacentral:rRNA from 1 species
AGAGUUUGAUCCUGGCUCAGAACGAACGCUGGCGGCAUGCCUAACACAUGCAAGUCGAACGCACCUUUCGGGGUGAGUGGCGCACGGGUGAGUAACACGUGGGAACCUGCCUUCUGGUUCGGGACAACGUCUGGAAACGGACGCUAAUACCGGAUGAGCCCUUUGGGGGAAAGAUUCAUCGCCAGGAGAGGGGCCCGCGUCCGAUUAGGUAGUUGGUAGGGUAACGGCCUACCAAGCCGACGAUCGGUAGCUGGUCUGAGAGGAUGAUCAGCCACACUGGGACUGAGACACGGCCCAGACUCCUACGGGAGGCAGCAGUGGGGAAUAUUGGACAAUGGGGGCAACCCUGAUCCAGCAAUGCCGCGUGAGUGAUGAAGGCCUUCGGGUUGUAAAGCUCUUUCGCACGCGACGAUGAUGACGGUAGCGUGAGAAGAAGCCCCGGCUAACUUCGUGCCAGCAGCCGCGGUAAUACGAAGGGGGCUAGCGUUGUUCGGAAUUACUGGGCGUAAAGGGCGCGUAGGCGGCCUGUUUAGUCAGGAGUGAAAUCCCCGGGCUCAACCUGGGAAUUGCUUUUGAUACUGGCAGGCUUGAGUUCCGGAGAGGAUGGUGGAAUUCCCAGUGUAGAGGUGAAAUUCGUAGAUAUUGGGAAGAACACCGGUGGCGAAGGCGGCCAUCUGGACGGACACUGNNGCUGANNNNCGAAAGCGUGGGGAGCAAACAGGAUUAGAUACCCUAGUAGUCC